rnacentral:rRNA from 1 species
UGGUGUGAUCAUUCCAAUGUUAAAGAACUGGAUCCCAUGAAAACUCCGCAGUUAAGUGUGUUUGGGCUAGAAUAGUACUGGGAUGGGUGACCUCCCAGGAAGUCCUAGUGUUGCACCCU